CGAGCACGCGCGUGUGGCAUAUCAAUAAGCGGAGGAAAAGAAACUAACAAGGAUUCCCCUAGUAACGGCGAGUGAAGCGGGAAGAGCUCAAAUUUGAAAUCUUAAAGGGUUUCCCUUUACGAAUUGUAGUUUAAAGAAGUGUUUUCUGUUGGAGUUUCGGUAAAAGUUCUUUGGAAUAGGACAUCAUAGAGGGUGAGAAUCCCGUAUUUGACCGUUACUUUCCAGCUUUGUGAUACACUUUCAAAGAGUCGGAUUGUUUGGGAAUGCAGUCCAAAAUGGGUGGUAAAUUUCAUCUAAAGCUAAAUAUUGGCGAGAGACCGAUAGCGAACAAGUACCGUGAGGGAAAGAUGAAAAGAACUUUGAAAAGAGAGUUAAACAGUACGUGAAAUUGUCAAAAGGGAAGCGUUUGACACCAGUGUUGUUUAGUUGAAAAUCAAUUAAAUAAUUUGUGAUUUUGAGUAGUAUUGACUUUAUCAGCUUGCUGCUUUCUUUUUCAUAAAUUAUUUAAUGCACUUUUCAGUUAACAAGUCAACAUCAAUUUCUUUUGUUGUAAAAGGGUAAGAGGAAGGUGGCUUGCGCUUCGGCUCAAGUGUUUAUAGCCUUUUACCUCUGCAAUCGGAGAGAUUGAAGACUGCAGCGUAGACUCCUUUUGGGGUUAGAUACGUUUGUGCUAAGUUAUAGCCUUGUAUAGACAACUUGUUGACUAUACUCAGUCAUGUAGCUUACUCGCAUGAUAGCUAUUUUACCUACGCUUAGGAUGUUGAUGUGAUACUGCGAGCA
rnacentral:rRNA from 1 species